CACGCCCUAAACGAUGUCAACUGGUUGUUGGGGGAUUUAUUCUCUUAGUAACGAAGCUAACGCGUGAAGUUGACCGCCUGGGGAGUACGGUCGCAAGAUUAAAACUCAAAGGAAUUGACG
rnacentral:rRNA from 1 species